UAGUGUCCAUGCUUGAUUAGAAAAACCCUAAACCAUCUCGAAUUUAGAUGUUAAAUAAUCUGGUGACAAAAAUACUAAAAAAGGGAUUUUUUGGGAAAAUAGUUAGAUGCUAAGAAUGAAAA
rnacentral:rRNA from 1 species